GCUAACAAAAGUCCGGCCCGCAGGCGAGCAGCGCCGGGCCACAAGUCUCUGCUCACUCGGGGCACCGCAACAAGUGGCCGCCGCGCCCUCCCCGGGGAAGCCGCGGACGCACGGGGGCGCAGGGCGGAGGCGGAGGCCGAGGAGCCGGACAGCCUGGGGCAGGCGCGGCUCGGCUCGCACGGCUGGGGACCGCGGAGGCGCAUGGGGACCCCACGGCGGUGGAGCGGCGAGUCUAGGGGCGGCACCCGGGCGCGGGCUGUGCUUCGCGCUGCUCCCACUCGCCCGGAGCGCGGAAUCUGAGAGCUCCGGUGGUUGCUCUGGAGCUGGCUCGCCACCCUCGGGGGUGCCAGGAGCGGACCUAGUCCCACCCCUCCGGUCGCAGAGCACUGCGGACCCCCAAGCCCAAAUCGGCCCUUGGAAGGGGCAUGUGCAGCUAAGGGUCCGGUCCUGCCCGCUUUCCUCUGCCCCGCCGCCUGGGAGGUGCGCCCCAGCUAUGCAGUGUCCAGGGAGGAGGCGGGCAUGACGGCGACAGGAUGGGCGCGAACAAUGGCAAACAGUACGGCAGUGAGGGCAAAGGCAGCUCAAGCGUCUCAUCCGACGUGAGUUCAAGCACAGAUCAUACACCAACCAAAGCCCAGAGGAAUGUGGCCACCAGCGAAGGUAGGCAGCCCUGCUCUUCCUCUCUCCUCUUCCCUUCCCCAGAGCUGGCUGUUUGAAAGGCAGAGAAUGUGGGAGAUUUACUCCUAGUUUACUGCAUGGGAGUCUAUCAGAUUGUUUAAAAGGAGAAGGCAACGAUGUCCCAAGGUUUGCUUUCUUCACUGUUGGUAUUGCCAUUGAAUUUGGCUUGGUGGGAUUUAAGUGUCUUAACAUGAAGGCACAUGGCAUUAUUUUGCCAACACAUGAUAGGCUGACUCAAGCAAAGCCACUAUGACAUCAUAUACCCAUAUUCCAAUAUGGCAAAAUGGUAUGAUCCAAGUUGUAAGUUUCUGCAAGAAUGUGCAAGAUAGUUGUUCCUUAAAUUCAGACUGUGCCGAUAGGAGGGUCACAAUCCUGACAUACGUAGGACUUGAUUAAUCAUGGAAGCUUGGGAUAUGC
rnacentral:lncRNA from 1 species